AAGUCGUAACAAGGUUUCCGUAGGUGAACCUGCGGAAGGAUCAUUAACACAAUACUUUCUAUUAUCAAUAACCUUUGUGCACUGUCGGAGCCUUCUUUAACGUGGGGUCGACUAGAUCAUGGUUGGAAUGCGGUCUAGCCUGCUGUCAAGUUUCCCCGUCAUUCAUUCUUCCUCGGAAGGGUGUCUAGGCGAUCGGUUUAACGCCCCGUUUUCGAAGGUGAAACAGCCUCAACCAUGGCUGUGCCCUAUUUUUUUUUAACCUCUUGAUUUUUGUACUGAUUUGGGCUGUUGUUGAUUGAGAGGAGCGAUCCUUUCUCAUUGCAGCUUGUGUUGAAUGCUUGUCAUUCUAUCACUAACCAAAACACAACUCUUAACAGUGGAUAUCUCGGUUCUC
rnacentral:misc_RNA from 1 species